rnacentral:rRNA from 1 species
UACGUAGGAGGCAAGCGUUGUCCGGAAUUACUGGGCGUAAAGCGCGUGUAGGUGGUGGGACAAGUCUGCUGUGAAAGCGCCUGGCUUAACCGGGCGAGGUCGGCGGAAACUGUCGCACUCGAGGACGGUAGAGGGGGGUGGAAUUCCCGGUGUAGUGGUGAAAUGCGUAGAUAUCAAGAGGAACACCAGUGGCGAAGGCGAGUCCCUGGACAACACCUGACACUGAGGCACGAAAGCUAGGGGAGCAAACAGG